AUUGAACGCUGGCGGCGUGCCUAACACAUGCAAGUCGAGCGAAGCAUUUUAAAGGAAGUUUUCGGAUGGAAUUUGAAAUGACUGAGCGGGCGACGGGUGAGUAACGCGUGAGGAACCUGCCUCGGAGUGGGGAAUAACAGUCCGAAAGGACUGCUAAUACCGCAUAAUGCAGCUGGGUCGCAUGACUCUGGCUGCCAAAGACUUAUCGCUCUGAGAUGGCCUCGCGUCUGAUUAGCUAGUUGGCAGGGUAACGGCCUACCAAGGCGACGAUCUGUAGCCGACCUGAGAGGGUGACCGGCCACAUUGGGACUGAGACACGGCCCAA
rnacentral:rRNA from 1 species